GACGAACGCUGGCGGCGUGCUUAACACAUGCAAGUCGAACGGUGAAGGGAUCAGCUUGCUGGUUCUGGAUGAGUGGCGAACGGGUGAGUAACACGUGAGUAACCUGCCCCCUUCUUCUGGAUAACCGCAUGAAAGUGUGGCUAAUACGGGAUAUUCUGCGCCUGCUGCAUGGUGGGUGUGGGAAAGAUAUUGUUUCGGUGGGGGAUGGGCUCGCGGCCUAUCAGCUUGUUGGUGGGGUGAUGGCCUACCAAGGCGGUGACGGGUAGCCGGCCUGGGAGGGGGGGCGGUCACACUGGGACUGUGACACGGCCCAGACUCCUACGGGAGGCAGCAGUGGGGAAUAUUGCACAAUGGGCGCAAGCCUGAUGCAGCGACGCCGCGUGAGGGAGGGAGGCCUUCGGGUUGUGAACCUCUUUCGCCAGUGAAGCAGGCCUGUCCCUUGUGGGUGGGUUGACGGUAGCUGGAUAAGAAGCGCCGGCUAACUACGUG
rnacentral:rRNA from 1 species